UGUCAUUCCCAAGAUGAAUUGACGCUGUAUUGGCCGCAAAAGGAGGCCCUACACCAUACUAAUAAAUUAUUGUGGUCUAAAACCAGGUGUUUCAGUUUAAUUGUCCAACCCCUGUAGGUCAAUAUAGCCUUUGUUCUUUCAUUGUUAUUAGUGCCAUGAUAAAGAUGUCAUGUCCAAAUGUUAGACAGACAUUACUUUGUGACGAGCAGCAAAUUAACAAAAAAGUCAUUACUGGAUUUAUUUAUUUUUUUUGUGUGUGCAUGUUGAUAUUGACUUUAAUAUGAUUAUGUUCUUCUAUGUUCCGAGGCUAAGGUACCAUUUCAGUUAAUAGGAAUGGACCUUAUUGGAAAGUUGGUAAAAACCAAGCAAGGAAACCAGUACAUCUGCGUUAUUAUUGACUACUGCACGAGGUGGGUCAGUGCAUAUCCCAUUCCAACCAAGUCCGCUGCUGAUGUCACAAACUGCAUCUUGAAAUUUAUUUAUCAGUUUGAUGUUCUUAAACGCAUACUAACUGAUCUAGGCAAAUAAUUUGUCAAUUGACUUUGAAUUAAAACAUGUAUAAUUAAUCUGUACAGAUCAACACAGAGGUCUGCAAAAUAUUUGGAAUUGAAAGAAGUAUCUGUGUUGCCUAUCACUCACAAACAAAUGGGCUUGUGGAGAGGCUGAACGGCACUAUUCAGAGGUGAGCAAUAACAUACUACAAAAAAUGGCCAUACUACAAAAAGUGAAUGAACAGACUGAGGACAAAAGAACAGCUCACAACGCAAUUCUCACCUUUCAAGCUAAUGUUUGGCAGAAAAGCGAGCUAUCUCUGUGAUAUCCCAGAGCAUUAUGAAGUGACUAAACAAACACAGACUCAUCUUCAGUUUUACAUGUUGACUACGUAUUUCUGAACAUUAAAAAUCUAAUGAUCAUAAAAUGAUCCUAUUUUUAUUUUGUUAUAGUUGACUCUUGCUAGGUGGAUAGUUCUUUUGAAGAUUUCUUGCCAUACCACCUCCUGCUGCUGUAACACCCUUUUAUGAAAACUGUAAAUAUCUUAUAAACUUUAAGCAAAAGUCUGUCUUGUUGAACAUUGUCAAUAUAUUGUAACAUUUUUAAUAAAUCUUAAAAUGUUUUACAUAAAUGACAAUUAUAUAAUUUAUACACAGGCUUGAAGGAUGCAGGGGAUGACAAAAAUUGCCAAGUUUUGCUUGCAAAAAUAGGCCCGUACAAACUAUUUUAUUGGGACAUAGCCAGAACUUGCCCAAACCAAGAGCUUGAAAGUGAGGUGGAAAUGUAUUUAUGGUUAGUUAAAAUGAUUCAAUGUUUUAUCUGAAGCGCUGGAUAUCUUUCAAUAAUUUAACAAAGUCUGCACUGAUAAAAAAAAACUUAUUUGUUCUCUAGAUUCUUAAUGCAUACAUAGCCAAUGCAGUGAAAAAACAUAACUUGGGAGGAAACACAAAAGCUCUACACAUAGACUCUUUUGAGUGGACACGUAUCUGGGAAGGAAAGUCCUCAAGAUUCAAGUGUGACCCACAUCAGUACCAUCUUAUUUUGGGUGCAGUUCAUGAGCCUGGUCACUGGAUACUGGCAGCAAUCUACCAUUCACAGAGAAGGAGUGUUGUUUUGGACCCCAUGGGAAAUGACAGUUUGAAAAUAAAGCAAUGCUUAACUUUCACAAGGGCCUUCGUCAGAAAAAGAGGCUUGUCCGUAUCCAGAUGGACAGCAAGUACACUGCCCCACUCCCUUCAGAAGGACUCAACAUCCUGUGGAGUUUUUGUUCUCAAAGUAGAUUUGUCUUUUCUGUGUAAUUUAUGUGAAGGUCUUUUAUAACAGGAAAUCUUUGGUCCAGAUGUUAAUUUUAUUCUGAAACACCCCAUGAGUAUUGAUUUCAAAUGUGACAGAUGUGAAAUGUGUUUCAUGUAUUUCACAUGUUUAUAUGUUUUUUAUGUUUUAUCAUUAGUAUGCAGAAAAACUACUUGCAGAGGCAUCCCUGCAGUUUAGAAAUGACGUGUCAGCUGUGUCUCAAUUCAGAAAACAUAUUGCAUUUACGCUGAUGAUGGAGACCAGUAUUUUAAUUAAAUUUUUUGCUUUCUAGUUUAAAGUAAUGCAAUGACUAAAACUUUGAUGUAGUUUGUAAUAAUAUAAUUUAUUGUGAACUAUCUCUUGAUGAUCUUAGUGAGCUGUGCCACCAUUGUGGGGAGAAAACAACUACUGGAGACAAGCAGAAGAAACAACUGAAGAAAACGAAUACAUGGAUCCACUGUGAUGUAUGUGACCGGUGGUACCAUGCCAACUGUGUUGCAAAUCCGAACCCCAGCAGCUUGCUGAGAUGGAACCGUCUUUUCUUCCCUGUUUGUCAUAUAAUCAUUGUUGUUCAUUUUUAUGGUAUUUUUUUAUAUGUUUAUCUUGAAAAAUACCUUUUUAUUAUUACUGUCAUUACUAUCAUGAUUAUUAUUACUAUAACUGUACAGUUAUGAGGAAUUACUUUACAAUUUUUAUUUGGAAGAGUAGAUGUGCACUUACAUAAGAAAGAAAUACUUCUUAUUUUGUUUUUGAUCUUUUAAAGAUGAUUAGUUUCAAGUGAAACCUUUGACAGACCAUAUGUUUGAAAAUGUAACUUUUAAAUAAAAAGUACACGUUUAGUUGAAAUUCUGUAAUUUCCAAUGGCUUUGUAUUAUACUUUGCAGCAUGUAAACGGGUUAAUUGUACAUGAAGAAAAUUGAGUCAUAAUAUAAUCUAUUAUUUAUAGGUAUUUUGUUUUUACAUACUAUUUUCAGUAAGAGUUUUGAAAUAAGUUAUCAAAAGUAUUUUUGUGCUUUGUGGGAAA